CCUACGGGGGGCAGCAGUGAGGAAUAUUGGUCAAUGGGCGCGAGCCUGAACCAGCCAAGUCGCGUGAGGGAUGAAGGUUCUAUGGAUCGUAAACCUCUUUUAUAAGGGAAUAAAGUGUGGGACGUGUCCUAUUUUGUAUGUACCUUAUGAAUAAGGAUCGGCUAACUCCGUGCCAGCAGCCGCGGUAAUACGGUGGAUCCGAGCGUUAUCCGGAUUGAUUGGGUUGAAAGGGUGCGUAGGCGGCCUUUUAAGUCAGCGGUGAAAGUCUGUGCCUCAACCAUAGAAUUGCCGUUGAAACUGGUGGGCUUGAGUAUGUUAGAGGCAGGCGGAAUGCGUUGUGUAGCGGUGAAAUGCUUAGAUAUCUCGCAGAACCCCGAUUGCGAAGGCAGCCCGCCAGGCCAUGACUGACGCUGAUGCACGAAAGCGUGGGGAUCAAACAGGAUUAGAUACCCGAGUAGUC
rnacentral:rRNA from 1 species